rnacentral:lncRNA from 1 species
AAAGAAACACCGAAGUGAGAAAAGAAAUUACAGAUAGAGAGAGAGCUGUAGCUCUGUUGAGAAAAGAAAAAGGUGGUAGCUCUUCUUUGUAAAACAAAAGGCCGAAGCCUGAGUGUAUUAUUAUAUAUAAAAGUGUGUUGUGUUGUUUAGUAUUUUAUUCUCCAAACUUGUUUAAACCCAUUCACGUUUCUAACAAGUGGCAUCAGAGCCGAGGUUUCGUUCGAAAAAAAUAAUGGUAAGUUUCCUCGAAGCCCAAGUUCCAAUGUUGACGGGCAAAAAUUAUGGAGACUAGAGUAACCAAAUGAAGGAAUUACUCGGUUUCUAUGAUAUUUGGGAUAUUGUCGAAAGCGGGUAUAAUGAGCCUACAAAAGCUGCUGAAGUAGCCCUGUCAGAUGCCGAGAAGACGACAUUAAAUGGGUGCAGGAGCAAAAACGAGGCAUGUUUCAUGAUUUAUCAAGGUGUCGAUGAAUUCACCUUUGAUAAUAUGCAGAAAUCAUUCCAAGGAGU